CAGCCCUGCCGCCUGCUUCUCUUGCAAAUCAAAGGGCCUGCCGAGGCGCUAUUCACAACCACCACCUCAGGUCGUUACAACCUGGCCUCAUCUUUCAAGCACAGAGACCAGAAGGCAUGGUCUGUUUGAGGCAGAGCUGCAGUUCAGAUCCCAUCUUUAGAUUCUGACUCCCCAGCCCCUGUGGGCAGAAGCUGUGGAAGGCUCUCCAUCCUUGGGAACUGCGGCUGGUCGGGGAUUUAGUUGGAAGCAGAGGUCCUGAAGCCUGUGGAUCUGCACCUCCUUCUUCUGCUCCCUCUGCAGCCCAGAAGUGGCUCAGGCCUCCCAGCCCGGGCUGUAUCCUGCCCUCCCCAGGCCAUGGACGGUGACCAGAAGAGGAUUACGCAGGCUCACUCAUGGAUAAAAUUGGGUCUCGGCCUGAAGAGCAGCA
rnacentral:lncRNA from 1 species